rnacentral:sRNA from 1 species
CUGUGCCCCGGUGGCCGAAUGGUUGGUGCGGCCACCUGGUAGCACCUUGGCGUGGGGACCCAAGGUGCGUGGGUUCGAAACCCACAGGGGAACACCAAAUCCGGAGCCAACUUCUCAGCUCCUUAAAUAAUGAGAUGUGAACUUGCCAAGUAGGUACCUUCGGGCGGACCUACUACCUGAUUUAGCUGAUUUUUCCUGGGCUGGGAACCUGUAUUGCAUGUACCAAUCCUGUCUCUCAUUUGAUUUUCCUAUGUUCUAGUUAUAUCUUGGCGCGUUUUCAACACUAGCAUUCCUCCUGUAUAACCAACUCUUGCCUGUAUUUAACAUCACACAAGGACUUGUCAUAAGCACUGCUUGCAUACAAGUAUAAGGAAGAAUAAUAAUAAUAAUAAUAAUAUAUACAGAACUGUAAUAUAUAUCAAUAAAGCAAAUCAAGC